CAGAGCCAUUCUUGCUAAUCACACAUUCUUCCCUUUUGUUUCAGAGCAUUUAAAAGAAACCCAGCAACCUCCAAAAAAAAAAAAAAAUCCCAGAAGGAAGAACCACAGGUCCUCAGUAGGUUUCACUGUUAGCAUCCCUGAAAUAUCUUGGAAAGGAACUUAUUGGAAGUUUACUCCUUCUUUAGUUCUUUGAAAUGCUUUUCCUAACUGUACAAUGUAUAUCAAUGGUACAGCUUCUGGAGAAGAAUCUUUCUCCCGAAAAACAGACAGCAACUACGUCAUUAGGGAAGAACAUUGUUAAUACAGCUUUUUGAAGUGAAUUGCCUUUUUGACCAAGAAGAAAUAAAAGAGUAGAUGAACAGAGGAAAAAUGAGGUACUGAAGAAGAAUGAAGACUUUCUAAUAUAUCUUCUAUCUACCAGAUGCUUGCCCUGGAAACCAGCCAUGAUGCUGUGAUGAAAUCCAGGCAACAGAUUUGUGUUUCAGCCCAAAGCAGCAGAUGGGAUCCAGGUGACUGACAUCAUUAUCUGUCAGACAUGUGAGAGAAAUCCUUAAGAUAACUUCAGACUCAUCACUCAUUAUCUUCAACCACAUGAGAAACCCAGAGCGAGAACCACCCAGCCAAGGCCAAUCUCUACAACUUCAAAAGCUUCAGGACCAUCAUCUGACAUAGGGGAAGAAGACUUACAUAGGAUGCUCAAACACUGCCCAAGAUCAUGUAAGGUUUAAACUUUAUAAUAAAUCCAUUUUGUUUCUCAUA